UUUAACGAGAGUUUGAUCCUGGCUCAGGAUGAACGCUGGCGGCGUGCUUAACACAUGCAAGUCGAGCGAAGCACUUUGCUUUGAUUUCUUCGGGAUGAAGAGCUUAGUGACUGAGCGGCGGACGGGUGAGUAACGCGUGGGUAACCUGCCUCAUACAGGGGGAUAACAGUUAGAAAUGACUGCUAAUACCGCAUAAGGCCACAGCACCGCAUGGUGCAGGGGUAAAAACUCCGGUGGUAUGAGAUGGACCCGCGUCUGAUUAGGUAGUUGGCGGGGUAACGGCCCACCAAGCCGACGAUCAGUAGCCGACCUGAGAGGGUGACCGGCCACAUUGGGACUGAGACACGGCCCAAACUCCUACGGGAGGCAGCAGUGGGGAAUAUUGCACAAUGGGGGAAACCCUGAUGCAGC
rnacentral:rRNA from 1 species